rnacentral:pre_miRNA from 1 species
UCUCGUGGAUGAGCGCAGAGAGUGGUUUCCUGAGAAGGAAUCCACUCCUGGUGAAGAUGCUGUGAA